CGGACGGGUGAGUAACGCGUGGGUAACCUGCCCUGUACAGGGGGAUAACAGUUAGAAAUGACUGCUAACACCGCAUAAGCGCACGGUAAGGCAUCUUAGUGUGUGAAAAUAUUCAUAGGUACAGGAUGGGCCCGCGUCUGAUUAGCCAGUUGGCAGGGUAACGGCCGUACCAAAGCGACGAUCAGUAGCCGGCGUUGAGAGAGUGAACCGGCCACAUUGGGACUGAGACACGGCCCAAACUCCUACGGGAGGCAGCAG
rnacentral:rRNA from 1 species